rnacentral:rRNA from 1 species
AGAACGAACGCUGGCGGCAUGCCUAACACAUGCAAGUCGAACGAGACCUUCGGGUCUAGUGGCGCACGGGUGCGUAACGCGUGGGAAUCUGCCCUUAGGUACGGAAUAACUCAGGGAAACUUGUGCUAAUACCGUAUGAUGUCGAGAGACCAAAGAUUUAUCGCCUAGGGAUGAGCCCGCGUAGGAUUAGCUAGUUGGUGGGGUAAAGGCCUACCAAGGCUACGAUCCUUAGCUGGUCUGAGAGGAUGAUCAGCCACACUGGGACUGAGACACGGCCCAGACUCCUACGGGAGGUAGCAGUGGGGAAUAUUGGACAAUGGGCGAAAGCCUGAUCCAGCAAUGCCGCGUGAGCGAAGAAGGCCUUCGGGUUGUAAAGUCUCGUUUACCGGGAAGAUAAUGACUGUACCGGAGAAGUAACGCCCCGGACUACUCCGUGCCAGCCAGCCGC